UACAGAGGUCUCAACCGUUGUUCGGAUUCAUUGGGCGUAAAGGGUGCGUAGGCGGUCGCGUAAGUCAGAUGUGAAAUCCCCGGGCUCAACCUGGGAAUGGCAUUUGGGACUGCAAGGCUGGAGUGUGGCAGAGGAGACUGGAAUUCCUGGUGUAGCAGUGAAAUGCGUAGAUAUCAGGAGGAAUACCGAUGGCGAAGGCAGGUCUCUGGGCUGACACUGACGCUCAUGCACGAAAGCGUGGGGAGCAAACAGG
rnacentral:rRNA from 1 species